rnacentral:rRNA from 1 species
UUAUCAUCCGUAUUAUGAUAGGUAGAGGCGCGUGUCCGGCGGGUGGCCGCGCGGCCAGACGUGAGCGGGGUUGUUUGUUUUUUCCUCGCGAGCAGCGCGUGAGAGAAAAGAAAGCGCGGCGGGGACGCCGCGCGGGUGGGUGGGGCCACACACACCCCACUAUAUUUAAUUAUGUCUGAGGUGUUUCAUGUUCCCACCACUCCUCUUCUUUGGGGCGCACCGCCCCACCAGAGGCCUUUCUCCCACCUCUUUUAAGUCUUUCUUCCGGCGGUCUUGUGUAUAUGGUUUUUGGGGGGGAGAAAAUUUGUGGGGGGGCGGGGUAAAAACAAAUUUUCCCCCACCCCGGGAAAACACGCCUUUAGUGGCCCCAUGGAUAUACCCCCCAAAGUCUUUUUUUGGGGGACCACUUUUUGAGAAUAACCUCAAAAGUUUAUGGCAUUCCAAAACCGCGGUGGGGGAGGCUUUUCCCAAUAUGGGUUGGACCCUCCAGGGGGGGCCCGGGAAAUUUCAUUAUGUGAUUUCUUUGGUCCAUUUAGGAGGGAAGGUAAAAAGUUGUAAACAAGGGUUUCCGUUAGGGUAAACCUGCGGAAGGAUUCAUUAAAGAAAAUUUAAUAAUUUUGAAAAUGGAUUUUUUGUUUUGGCAAGGAGCAGAAGAGCUUUUACUGGGCAAGAAGACAAGAGAUGGAGAGUCCAGCCCGGCCUUGCGCUUAAGUGCGCGGUCUUGCUAGGGCUGUAAGUUUCUUUCUUGCUAUUCCAAACGGUGAGAGAUUUCUGUGCUUUUGUUAUAGGACAAUUAAAACCGUUUCAAUACAACACACUGUGGAGUUUUCAUAUCUUUGCAACUUUUUCUUUGGGCAUUCGAGCAAUCGGGGCCCAGAGGUAACAAACACAAACAAUUUUAUCUAUUCAUUAAAUUUUUGUCAAAAACAAGAAUUUUCGUAACUGGAAAUUUUAAAAUAUUAAAAACUUUCAACAACGGAUCUCUUGGUUCUCGCAUCGAUGAAGAACGCAGCGAAAUGCGAUACGUAAUGUGAAUUGCAGAAUUCCGUGAAUCAUCGAAUCUUUGAACGCACAUUGCGCCCCUUGGUAUUCCAGGGGGCAUGCCUGUUUGAGCGUCAUUUCCUUCUCAAACAUUCUGUUUGGUAGUGAGUGAUACUCUUUGGAGUUAACUUGAAAUUGCUGGCCUUUUCAUUGGAUGUUUUUUUUCCAAAGAGAGGUUUCUCUGCGUGCUUGAGGUAUAAUGCAAGUACGGUCGUUUUAGGUUUUACCAACUGCGGCUAAUCUUUUUUUAUACUGAGCGUAUUGGAACGUUAUCGAUAAGAAGAGAGCGUCUAGGCGAACAAUGUUCUUAAAGUUUGACCUCAAAUCAGGUAGGAGUACCCGCUGAACUUAAGGAUAUCAAUAAGCGGA